rnacentral:rRNA from 1 species
CGAAAGCCUGACGGAGCAACGCCGCGUGAGGGAUGAAGGCCUCUGGGCUGUAAACCGCUUUUAUCAAGGAAGAAGAUCUGACGGUACUUGAUGAAUAAGCCACGGCUAAUUCCGUGCCAGCAGCCGCGGUAAUACGGGAGUGGCAAGCGUUAUCCGGAAUUAUUGGGCGUAAAGCGUCCGCAGGCGGCCUUGUAAGUCUGUCGUCAAAGCGUGGAGCUUAACUCCAUUUAAGCGAUGGAAACUGCAAGGCUAGAGUGUGGUAGGGGCAGAGGGAAUUCCCGGUGUAGCGGUGAAAUGCGUAGAUAUCGGGAAGAACACCAGUGGCGAAGGCGCUCUGCUGGGCCAUAACUGACGCUCAUGGACGAAAGCCAGGGGAGCG